UGUCCAAUGCGGGAAUCGAACCCGGGUCGUAGUGGUCGAAAACCAAACGGUUUAACCAGCCUUCCACCGAACCCCAC